rnacentral:rRNA from 1 species
UACGAAGGGGGCUAGCGUUGUUCGGAAUUACUGGGCGUAAAGCGCGCGCAGGCGGCCUGACAAGUCAGGGGUGAAAGCCCAGAGCUCAACUCUGGAACUGCCUUUGAAACUUUUAGGCUAGAGGACGGGAGAGGUGAGUGGAAUUCCCAGUGUAGAGGUGAAAUUCGUAGAUAUUGGGAAGAACACCGGUGGCGAAGGCGGCUCACUGGCCCGUUUCUGACGCUCAGGCGCGACAGCGUGGGGAUCAAACAG